GCUCUGACAGUCCCUCCCAACACACACACACAGACACAUGCACCUCUUAAAUCUUAAAAUCAAAUAAAGGUGUACUUCAGUGUGUGCACAUACUUUAGCCAGAUUUGGUGAGGACUCAGUGUUAUAAUGUUUAUGUCUAAAACAGAGCCUGUCAGCAACCAUAUAUACAGUAAUUUUAUGAAGUGCUAUUGUUUGUAUGUCCUAUUAACCAGAACCAACUGCAAGAAAGAAUCAAAACCUCAGAACAUAAUGUAUUUUCUCCUUAAUAUGGCAAAAUAUGGGCUCGAAAAUAGAUUUCCCUCUACGGCACUACAGAACGUCCUUUUUUAACUGGUCAUAAAUACGUAAAACAAUAAAAUACCACCAUAGUACGUUAAAUCUGUGGAUUUUUAAGACCCCAAGAUUAAUGUACAAUAUAAGGCGGUUUUACUCUCCUGUGCCAUUUUUCUUUAUGUGACAAAAUAAAUAGGGGGAUAGUUUAGUACUCCAAAAUCUGGAUCUCAUAUGCAGAAAAAAUUGGGGUCCCUUGAUGCAGGAGUGGACACGUAGGGCCCCUCUCCUCCUGUCAAUGAGCCCUGCCAGCUGCAGCCAUGUUGUAAAGGAUCAGGCUCCUCCAGCAGCAGCAGCAGCAGCAGAGGCAGCAGCAGUGCUAACAGCUAGCGUCAGUGGACACCGACUACCGGGCACGGCGCUGUUGUGGACAAAAACAGACGGGGGAGAGGGACCUGGAGCGCAGAGACAUCCAUCGAGCCGGUUCCUAUUAUCAGUGGAUGCGUUAAUAAAAUUCAGACGCGCUGGCUGGAUAAGGUGUCCGGUUACGGAAAGUAGGUGCGGUCGGGCUCCAGGGCUGAAGCGGAUGUCUGUUUUCCUGAUGCUCUGCCGUCUUGUUUCCUGCUUUUAUGUGACUGUUACCCCAGAUCACAUCCCUGCAAACAUCCUCUAGCAGCAAAAACCACUGGGUCAGGAAACCAAAGUGUGUUCGCAGAUAUUAUGAUGUGAUCAUGGACAAAAUAACCAUGCUUGACAUGGAAUAUACUUCUCUCCUGAAAAAGGGAUAUGACCACUUUUUUUUUCUUAGUGAAUUAUCAAGAAAUGUCACUUUUUUGUACCACUUCCCUUCCAGCAGAUGCCUUUCUGUGUAGAUACUAUUAAAGCACUCAUUAAUGUUUGCUCGAGUGCACAUGCGACCAGUGCAGCAGUUGAUGUUUUUUUUCACUUCUCUGUUUUUAACUGCAUAUCAAACACAUUUUUCAUUAUUCUGAAAAUGUGUUUAUUAUAAACAAAUUUGAAAAUUGUGCACACGUGAUCGUCCAUGAGUUUUUAUUUGUAGAAGUGGUGCUUGAAAGGGAAAGGAAUGGCUUUGUUUCCAUGUCUGCUGCCUUGUCUCCUCACCUUUUCUCUUGUUACUUCCACUGAGAUGAAGAUGCAUGAAUGGGGAAACAACAAUUCGGAUAUUGGAUUGAUUUUUUUCCCUUAUCCCUUUCUUUAGUGAUGGUGGGUCUCACAAAUUCGACAGGCAGAAUGGUGGGAUAUGAUGGGAGAGUUAGUUGGGGAAAGAAUGAGAAUCAAGCAUUAAGAAGGAGGAGGCAACAGUUUGGAAAUGAAACUCAGCCCCCCAGGUGUGUCAGUCCUAAACAUUCAGUGGGCGGGUGCUUUCACUCUCCUAUAAGUGACAGCAUACAGUACAACUAGGAAGUGCAGAGAGAGGGGAGAGGAACGCACGGACAUUCAUGAUUUAGCGGUGGACCGGGCCUCUGCGUACUGACUGCCAACAUGCAGUUCUGGGAUUUCCUGGGUUGCACCAAUGGAGGUACGUACGCGUGCAGUUAUACUGAUGGCUUUGUGAAUCUUCUCUGUGCGAGGCAGAUAGAGAGGGUCUGGCAGGCAGAAAGCUGGAAAGGAAUUUGUUCUGUGCACCGCUGUGCAAGCAGUUGCAUGUGAAAAACCUCACAGACAGGUAAAGAGUGGAACACAAACAAACAAGAUUAGGGGACUGAUAAGGUGUCGGCCCAUUGUGUUUUAUUUGUUAAACCUGGUUGGUUCUCAUUUUUUUUAGAUUAAGUGGCACAGAUCUGCUUGUUUGUAGCUUUUAGCCUAAAUUAAAAAAUCUUUUUCUUAUUUCGCUGACUCGACGUAAGUUAUGAAUCAUAGCGUGACUGUGCGCUGUCCUGUCUGCACUAAGCGUAUUUAAACUUUUCUUGGGAACAACUCUGAAACCCCAUCAGCUUGACGUUAGGUUAUAACAAACACUACUGCGAUUAUAGUUCCUAAACAUUGCUCUCAUAGUUUAGAGGAACUGGCACCUAUGUCAAUGAAAGCCAAAAGAUAAACAGGAGUAGGUUUAACUCUUAGCGAGAUGAUCACAUGUAACCCUGACUUUUCUUUUUCUUUUUUAAAUCUUAACCAGCUUUUCCCAAAUUAAAACUGUAUCUAAGUCUUUAUUCAUACAGACAGCUUUUUAAGGUGGUUUAAAAAGCAUAUUGGAGUCCAAGCUUGUAGUCUUCUUUGUUCAGCCACAUUUGGUUAUACUUGCACCGCAAAGAGUUAAACAUCAGAUUUCUUGUUUUGUACAACAACUGCCCACAGCUAUCAAAUGUCCCUUUUUUCUUGGUCAGAGGACUGUAAGUUGCUGAACAGUUUUUUAUAUUGCCUUUAUAACUGAAAAUCAGAUUGUCCCUACGCCUAUAGAAAAAAGGGAAUUCAGUGUGUUUGUGUCUGCAAUAUUAGCUUACAUAUAAAACACAAACACACCCAUAGAAUCUAUAAAGGAUGUAAAACUCCAGCUUAUGAUCUCAGUUAAGUUGUGUUGUCUCAUGUCUUGCCUUAAAUGUGGUUACUUUAUUGUGCUGCAUUGAAUUCCAGGACACUUCGAGCUCCAACACCCAUCCUGUGCCCCAGGCCAUGUUUUCUGCUAUUGCGCCAAUAACUAUAGCUAAGAUACCUGAUGGCUUGUGUCAUAUUUUUACGCUUCCAACACACAUAAAUGCUUACAAUCACAAAUAAAAAGUAGCCUUUGCUGAAAUGCUUCCUUAGCUGAAGCGGCUAUCCAUAAACUUUCCAAGUUUGUAAAGUGACAGAUUAAACAUGAGGUCAUAGGAUAUACAAUAUGCUUAAUUGUAGCCUCAUAGAUGUUUAGUUUCUGCUACAAAUCUUGGAGAACAGUGUUACAGUUGGUUUGUUGAAGUUGUUGCCAUAUUUUCAGGUAAUACAGAAGGAGGCUGUCUUGAAAGAUCAGUGACUGUAUGACUGGACGCGAGCGCUCAUGUGUCACCAUCAGUCUGCCCUUAUUUGCAUCCACAGCUCACUGUUUUGCUUAAGUUAUUCCAUGUGGGUCAGCACUGACUGCCUGUGAGACGUUCAAAUCAAUUUCAGGGCCUCAUUCUAACAUAAUUUUGCUGGUUAGCUUUCAUAGUUUUAAAGCCUCUUCUAAUGAAAUGUAUGCACAGUGCAUCUGACUCUCGCUUGUAUCUGACAGCGCUUUUCUUUAGGUAAUUAAUAGGUAAUUAAUUAGAUAAUUAUUUUUCAAUUACAGUUUUGCCUUCUUAACAUUAUGCAAACAAGAAUAAUGAUAAUGAAGAUAAAAUGCCUGUUUCUUCUGCGUUCUGUUUUGCAGUCGUACAUUUGUUUUGUUAUAAAUACAACACAUUCCUUUCCUGUGCAGCCAUGGCUUUUGCCCCCAUCUAAACCCAGACUCACUGUGGCAGGUUAAGAUCAAUCCACAUGAAUAUUUUUCAAAUUUAAGAAGGUCCACUGUGAAGAUAUUUUCACACACAAAAAAGGUUUAACAGUUACGUCAUUCUAAAAUCAAUUAUCUAUCAUAUUAUCAAUAUUAACAAAGUGAUUGUGAUUAUGAUUUUUCAUUUCUUUCUUUUUUUGCCAGUUCUCAGUUUGCUGAACAAGUAUGGCCUGUUUGAAAGGGUUGCCAGCAGAGAACCGCGUCUUGUUAAAAAGAACAUGGCAGCACAGCUUCGGUUUGCAAAGUUGCAUCUGAGCAAACUACAAGACUUCUGUAGAUGUUUGGCCAUAGUGCACAGCACCAUGUUUGGCGAAACAGAAACACACCAUUUUAGAGCAAACACUUCAUAGCAACUGUCAACAAGAUGGUGGAGGUGUGAUGAUUUGGCCUUGUUUGGCGGCCACAGCACCUGGACAUCUUGCAGUCAUUGAGUGGAGCAUGAGCUCCUCUGUAUAUCAAAGUAUUCUGAAGUCAAAUGUGAGGUUGCCUGACUGACACCUAAAGCUUGCCUGAAACUGGGUCAUGCAAAAGGACAAUGAUCCCUAACACAACACCAAAUCUAUAACAAUGGCUGAAAAAGAAAAGAAUUAAGGUGUUGCGAAGCUUAGAGCUGUAAACAAAUGCAAAUAAAUAAACAAAUGCCAAUCAACCUCAAAUGAACUGAAGUAACUUGGUAAAGAAGAGGGGGCCAACACAACAAUGUAAAAGAGUUCUACAAACUACUGAAUCAUGGGGUGUAUUUAUUUUUUUCACUGUGAAAACUUUCACAUGACUCUAUGCCAUCAGGAUGUCUUGAAAACAUGUGCAGUAUUAGACUGAAAUGGCAAAGACUUAAUGGGAAAUCAAACUGAACAUUUUAGAAAGAAUUACAUGACAGUCAGUUAAUAUCCAUAUCUGUGUUCAGUCCAGAAUCAGUCCAGACUAUGUUAUAAUAUGUUAAAAGUCAGGUCCUUUACCUCACACUGACUUGUAUAAAAAGGUGUGAGAUGAGUAGCAGCUAUAUAUUUAUAGAACAGAUAAAAAAAGGUAUGACAUUGACAUUACAGAUUGUUUUUUCUGUCUGACUAAUGUUUCCGCUUAUAAGCUUGUGUGAGAAAAUGAAAUGAACCUCAAGUGUUUUGAAACUAGGUUGGAUAUAGUCGUCUGUGACCGGUCACCUUGGCUGUGAAGGUUCUUGGCUCAUAGGUCUAUUUAAUGCUAGACAGUAUUUUUUUUAAUAGAGUAAAUGCAUUGGGAGCUAUUUUAUGUAAUGCAUAUAUUGGAUCAAAAGUUUUGGGUAGCUAAUCCCUUUUUCUCAGUUCCUGAAAGUAUUCUAAGAUGAGAAGUUUCUGCUAGACCCCGGUGCUCCUGUGGUUUGGUUUAAUGUGUUUAUAAAUGUCUGAAUGUUAACUUUGGUGCAGUGUACUGCACACUGAGGUAGAGCCAUAAAAUGGCUUAUAAAUGAAAGAAACUAUAAAUCUAUUAAAUCGGUGGAAAACCUGCAAGAACAGGAGGGAAUAAAGUGGGUAUCUGAGAGUGCAUACUGC
rnacentral:lncRNA from 1 species